GACGGAGGGUGCAAACGUUGUUCGGAAUCACUGGGCGUAAAGGGCGCGUAGGCGGACUUGUAAGUCGGGAGUGAAAACUCGGGGCUCAACCCCGAGCCUGCUUCCGAAACUGCGAGUCUUGAGGACCGGAGAGGAAAGUGGAAUUCCUAGUGUAGCGGUGGAAUGCGUAGAUAUUAGGAAGAACACCAGUGGCGAAGGCGACUUUCUGGACGGUUCCUGACGCUGAGGCGCGAAAGCUAGGGGAGCAAACAGGAUUAGAAACCCCCGUAGUCC
rnacentral:rRNA from 1 species